rnacentral:rRNA from 1 species
AUUGAACGCUGGCGGCAUGCCUUACACAUGCAAGUCGAACGGUAACGCGGGGCAACCUGGCGACGAGUGGCGAACGGGUGAGUAAUAUAUCGGAACGUGCCCAAUAGUGGGGGAUAGCCCGGCGAAAGCCGGAUUAAUACCGCAUACGACCUGAGGGUGAAAGCGGGGGAUCGCAAGACCUCGCGCUAUUGGAGCGGCCGAUAUCAGAUUAGGUAGUUGGUGGGGUAAAGGCCUACCAAGCCUACGAUCUGUAGCUGGUCUGAGAGGACGACCAGCCACACUGGGACUGAGACACGGCCCAGACUCCUACGGGAGGCAGCAGUGGGGAAUUUUGGACAAUGGGCGCAAGCCUGAUCCAGCCAUGCCGCGUGCGGGAAGAAGGCCUCGGUUGUAAACCGCUUUGUCAGGGAAGAAAUCUUCUGGGUUAAUACCUCGGGAGGAUGACGGUACC